GAUGAACGCUGGCGGCGUGCCUAACACAUGCAAGUCGAGCGUGAUUUAUGAGGACGAAACUUCGGUCUAGGAAUCAUAAUGAAAGCGGCGGACGGGUGAGUAACGCGUAGGCAACCUGCCCUUAACACAGGGAUAGCCUCGGGAAACCGGGAUUAAAACCUGAUGAUGCCAAAGAGUCACAUGGCUCGUUGGCCAAAGAUUUAUCGGUUAAGGAUGGGCCUGCGUCUGAUUAGUUUGUUGGUGGGGUAACGGCCUACCGAGACUACGAUCAGUAGCCGACCUGAGAGGGUGAUCGGCCACAUUGGAACUGAGACACGGUCCAAACUCCUACGGGAGGCAGCAGUGGGGAAUAUUGCACAAUGGGCGAAAGCCUGAUGCAGCAACGCCGCGUGAGCGAUGAAGGCCUUUGGGUCGUAAAGCUCUGUCCUUGGGGAAGAAACAAAUGACGGUACCCAAGGAGGAAGCCCCGGCUAACUACGUGCCAGCCGCCGCAGUAA
rnacentral:rRNA from 1 species